AACGCUAGCUACAGGCUUAACACAUGCAAGUCGAGGGGAAACGAUAUUGGAAGCUUGCUUCCGAUAGGCGUCGACCGGCGCACGGGUGAGUAACGCGUAUCCAACCUGCCCACCACUUGGGGAUAACCUUGCGAAAGUAAGACUAAUACCCAAUGAUAUCUCUAGAAGACAUCUGAAAGAGAUUAAAGAUUUAUCGGUGAUGGAUGGGGAUGCGUCUGAUUAGCUUGUUGGCGGGGUAACGGCCCACCAAGGCAACGAUCAGUAGGGGUUCUGAGAGGAAGGUCCCCCACAUUGGAACUGAGACACGGUCCAAACUCCUACGGGAGGCAGCAGUGAGGAAUAUUGGUCAAUGGACGAGAGUCUGAACCAGCCAAGUAGCGUGAAGGAUGACUGCCCUAUGGGUUGUAAACUUCUUUUAUAAAGGAAUAAAGUAGUCCACGUGUGGAUUUUUGUAUGUACUUUAUGAAUAAGGAUCGGCUAACUCCGUGCCAGCAGCCGCGGUAAUACGGAGGAUCCAAGCGUUAUCCGGAUUUAUUGGGUUUAAAGGGAGCGUAGAUGGAUUUUUAAGUCAGUUGUGAAAGUUCGGGGCUCAACCCCGUAAUUGCAGUUGAUACUGGAUAUCUUGAGUACAGUUGAGGUAGGCGGAAUUCGUGGUGUAGCGGUGAAAUGCUUAGAUAUCACGAAGAACUCCGAUUG
rnacentral:rRNA from 1 species